GGAUUAGAUACCCUGGUAGUCCACACCGUAAACGAUGAGUGCUAGUUGUCGGGUUGCAUGCAACUCGGUGACGCAGCUAACGCAUUAAGCACUCCGCCUGGGGAGUACGGCCGCAAGGUUAAAACUCAAAGAAAUUGACGGGGGCCCGCACAAGCGGUGGAGCAUGUGGUUUAAUUCGAAGCAACGCGCAGAACCUUACCAACCCUUGACAUACCUGUCGCGGUUUCCGGAGACGGAUUCCUUCAGUUCGGCUGGACAGGAUACAGGUGCUGCAUGGCUGUCGUCAGCUCGUGCCG
rnacentral:rRNA from 1 species